CCAAAAAUUAGUUUCCCAUUUUCUUUGCUUAUACCCAUUGCUGUGGUCAGGUAUGGGCCACUGAAUGAGACUUUACCUAAUUAAGCCUAGUUAUCCAGAAAGUUUGGCCCAAAAUUACGUUUCCAUAUGUCUAUGCUUGUAUCUUUCAUUACAGUGGUCAGGUAAGGGCUACUGAAUGAGACUUUACCUACUUAGGCCUAGUUAUCCAGAAUGUUUGGCCCAAAAGUGCGUAUGGUUGUAUCUUUCAUUACCGUGGUCAGGUAAGGGCCACAUUUUCCCCUCGUUUCACCAAAAUAACGGUCACUAUUUUGACCAAGAACUGACUGUACAUAUUUACUGACUUAACCUAGCCCCGCUAGGUAGAAUUGUUUUCUUUUUUUUGUAAGUCCAUUUUCAGCCACUUGCAGUUAGAUAAUGACGACAUGCGAGCCCGAGUGUUCCUGUCAGAUGCGGAGGAACCGGAAGCAGGGAGGAAGAACUACGGAUGACUGAGGACCCUGCUUGAAGGGCAUCCCAUUACUGCUUCCAUGGAGAUGAGGGUCUACAAGAUCAGAUGUCAUUCUGGACGAAGUUACGAUCGAUUCUAAUUUCCAAGGAGCCGGAAGCAGGGAGGAGGACCGACGGAAGGACUGAUGACCUGCUUGCAGAGCAAGUCUUCACCAAUUAUUGAGAUUCCUCUUGCCUCGUGUAAUAAGAAGCAGAAAGAGUGGCAAUACAUUA